rnacentral:tRNA from 1 species
AAGUAAGAAGCAAAUUCAUUGUAAUCAGUUUCGACCUGAUAGAGAGAUAAAUAAUUAUCCUUAUUUA